CCCUGCUAGGGCCACUGCAACUCCCUUCUAGGGUUUGAGAAUCGCCGCGCUUCCCAUAGUAUUGAAUUUUUCUUCACCCGCUUCAUCACUCUUCUCUGUAUACCCAGCUUCAUUCAUUAUUUUGCCGUUCAGAUGGCCAUGGAGGUUACUCAAAUUCUUCUAAAUGCGCAAGCAGUGGAUGGCAGUGUACGGAAACAAGCUGAAGAAAAUUUAAAACAGUUUCAAGAACAGAAUCUUCCAAGUUUUUUGUUUUCUCUUGCCGGGGAACUGGCAAAUGAUGAGAAACCUGCAGAGAGUCGGAAGCUUGCAGGUUUAGUUCUUAAGAAUGCCCUGGAUGCAAAAGAACAGCAUAGAAAGAUAGAGCUUGUCCAGAGAUGGUUAUCAUUGGACUCAACAGUAAAAGCACAGAUUAAAGGAUUCUUGUUGAGGACCCUUUCCUCCCCUUCUCUGGAUGCUCGAUCAACUGCUGCACAAGUUGUUGCAAAGGUUGCUGGUAUUGAGUUGCCACACAAGCAAUGGCCUGAGUUGAUAGAAUCUCUCUUGUCUAAUAUUCCUCAACAUCCUGCUCCUACAAGGCAGGCAACGCUGGAGACUCUUGGGUACGUCUGUGAAGAAGUUUCCCCAGAUGUGGUGGAUCAGGACCAUGUAAACAAGAUACUCACGGCUGUUGUUCAGGGCAUGAAUUCUUCUGAGACUAACAAUGAUGUCAGACUUGCUGCAAUUCAAGCCCUAUACAAUGCCUUGGGCUUUGCUCAAGCAAAUUUUUCAAAUGAUAUGGAGCGUGACUACAUCAUGAGAGUUGUCUGUGAGGCUACCCUUUCCCCUGAAUUGAGGAUUCGACGUGCAGCUUUUGAGUGUUUGGUUGCCAUUGCAUCAACCUACUAUGAAAAGUUGGCUCCUUAUAUGCAGGACAUAUUCAAUAUUACUGCCAAGGCUGUGAAAGAAGAUGAGGAGCCAGUUGCACUUCAGGCUGUUGAGUUUUGGAGUUCAAUAUGCGAUGAAGAAAUAGAUAUAUUAGAAGAAUAUGGAGGAGAUUUUAGUGGCGAUUCUGAUAUUUCUUGCUUUUAUUUUAUUAAGCAGGCACUUCCAGCUCUUGUUCCCAUGUUAUUGGAGACACUAUUAAAGCAAGAAGAGGACCAAGAUCAGGAUGAAGGGGCAUGGAACAUAGCUAUGGCUGGAGGCACAUGUCUGGGCUUGGUUGCUCGGACAGUUGGUGAUGAUAUUGUGCCCUUAAUUAUGCCAUUCAUUGAAGAGAAUAUAACAAAACCAGAUUGGAGGCAAAGGGAGGCUGCCACAUAUGCCUUUGGCUCUAUUCUUGAGGGUCCAUCACCUGAUAAACUUGUGCCACUUGUAAAUGUUGCUUUGAACUUUAUGCUCACUGCAUUAAUGAAAGAUCCAAAUAAUCAUGUAAAAGAUACUACUGCCUGGACUCUUGGACGAAUGUUUGAAUUUUUGCAUGGCUCAGCUCUCGAAACACCAAUUAUCACCCAAGCUAAUUGCCAACAGAUUAUUACAGUCUUGCUUCAAAGCAUGAAAGAUGUUCCGAAUGUUGCUGAGAAGGCAUGUGGAGCUCUUUAUUUUCUUGCCCAAGGUUAUGAGGAUGCUGGAUCUUCUUCCUCUCCAUUGACACCCUAUUUUCAAGAUAUUGUCCAAGCCCUUCUUACUGUCACUCAUAGAGAGGAUGCUGGAGAAUCACGCCUUCGAACGGCGGCCUAUGAAGCCUUAAAUGAAGUUGUGAGGUCUACUGCUGAUGAAUCAGCUCCGACAGUGGUACAAUUAGUUCCCCUCAUCGUGAUGGAGCUCCACCAGUAUCUUGAGAAACAAAACCUUUCCACUGAUGAGAGGCAAAAUGAGCUACCAGGCCUUCUUUGUGGUUGCUUGCAGGUCCUCAUACAAAAGUUAGGUUCAUAUGAGCCAACAAAAUUUCACUUCAUGCAGUAUGCUGACCAAAUGAUGGCCUUGUUCCUAAGAGUGUUUGCUUCUCGAAGUGCCACAGCACUUGAGGAAGCUAUGCUUGCAAUUGGAGCUCUGGCUUAUGCUUCGGGCCCAGAUUUUGCUAAAUACAUGCCUGAAUUUUACAAGUAUCUGGAGAUGGGACUCCAAAAUUUUGAGGACUACCAGGUUUGUGCUAUCACAGUGGGCGUGGUUGGUGAUGUAUGCAGGGCCUUGGAGGAAAAGAUUUUGCCUUAUUGUGAUGGGAUAAUGACCCAACUUCUGAAGGAUUUGUCAAGUAACCAGUUGCAUCGAUCUGUAAAGCCUCCUAUAUUUUCAUGUUUUGGGGAUAUUGCUUUGGCAAUUGGUGAAAACUUUGAGAAAUACUUGUUAUAUGCUAUGCCUAUGCUUCAGAGUGCUGCUGAGCUAUCUGCUCACACAUCGGGUGCUGAUGAUGAUAUGAUAGAGUACACAAAUUCUUUGAGAAAUGGAAUCUUGGAGGCAUACUCUGGGAUCUUCCAAGGGUUUAAGGGCUCCCCGAAGACUCAACUCUUGAUGCCCUAUGCUCCUUAUAUACUACAGUUUUUGGAUAGUUUGUACAUGGCAAAGGACAUGGAUGAUGUUGUUACAAAGACAGCUAUUGGGGUGCUUGGAGAUUUAGCUGAUACGUUGGGCAGUAGUGCUGGCCCCUUGAUUCAGCAAUCUGUGUCCAGCAAAGAUUUCCUCAAAGAGUGCUUGUCAUCGGAUGAUCAUUUGAUUAAGGAAUCAGCCGAAUGGGCCAAGUUGGCUAUCAGUCGAUCCAUAUCAUUUUGAGAAAAUAUGGAGUUUUUCAUACAGGAAGAGAAACAGGGCUAACAGUGAGGAUGGACCAAAAUGGUUUGCAAGGAGAAAUAUUGUGUACAUUUCCCUUGGAUGUGAUUGCUGCUGUUCAAGAUCACGCAGAUUUCACGACUGGCUUCAAGACACUUCUUUAUCUUGGUGUUACGAUGACUGUAAGGAUCUAUCAUGAAGCCUUGCAUUUUUCAUUUUCUGGGAAGUUAUAUAAUUUCUGGGAAGUUGAAAGGUGAUGCUUUAUGGGGGAAACUAAUGGCGAUGGAAGUAAUAAAAGGAAUUCAAUGAAACUACAUUGUUCAUCUGUUUCAAAGAGAAAUUAAAAAGAAUUAGAGGGCCUUCAUUGUUGAUGUUAUUUUGCUUGAUGCUUUAGUAUUACUUUAGUACCUUCCCUGCAGUAUUUAAUGAUAAAUAUAAUUAUUGCUAGGGGAAGGAUGGGGUAUUUUCUUUUGUAUGAUACUAUUAUGAAUUAUAAAUUUAAAUAUUAAGACUUCAA